AACGAACGCUGGCGGCAUGCCUAACACAUGCAAGUCGAACGAGACCUUCGGGUCUAGUGGCGAACGGGUGCGUAACGCGUGGGAACCUGCCCUUAGGUUCGGAAUAACUCCCCGAAAGGGGUGCUAAUACCGGCUAAUGUCUUCGGACCAAAGAUUUAUCGCCUUUGGAUGGGCCCGCGUUGGAUUAGCUAGUUGGUAGGGUAAAAGCCUACCAAGUCGACAAUCCAUAGCUGGUCUGAGAGGAUGAUCAGCCACACUGGGACUGAGACACGGCCCAGACUCCUACGGGAGGCAGCAGUGGGGAAUAUUGGACAAUGGGCGAAAGCCUGAUCCAGCAAUGCCGCGUGAGUGAUGAAGGCCUUAGGGUUGUAAAGCUCUUUUACCCGGGAUGAUAAUGACAGUACCGGGAGAAUAAGCUCCGGCUAACUCCGUG
rnacentral:rRNA from 1 species